AUCUCUGUGUGUUCAAGGAUACAACAAGCAUGGAGACACAUGGCUUUAAUCUCAAUACCAACCAUACAAGACCUGAAGGUCUGUAUAAACAGGCAGUGACAAGGCAGUCAUGUGGUUGUGUUUACAACCAAUGAGAAGGCAGAACAGAAAGUCUAUA